AACCAGCACCUCGAGUGGUCAGGAGGUUUAUUGGGCCUAAAGCAUCCGUAGCCGGUUGUUUAAGUUUCCGGUUAAAUCUAUACGCUUAACGUAUAGGCUGCCGAAAAUACUGGACAGCUAGGGAGUGGGAGAGGUACACGGUACUCAAUAGGAAGGGGUAAAAUCCUUUGAUCUGUUGAUGACCACCUGUGGCGAAGGCGGUGUACCAGAACACGUUCGACGGUGAGGGAUGAAAGCUGGGGGAGCAAACCGG
rnacentral:rRNA from 1 species